UGCCAGACUCCUACGGGAGGCAGCAGUGGGGGAUAUUGCACAAUGGGGGGAACCCUGAUGCAGCGACGCCGCGUGGGUGAAGAAGCGCCUCGGCGCGUAAAGCCCUGUCAGCAGGGAAGAAAAUGACGGUACCUGAAGAAGAAGCCCCGGCUAACUACGUGCCAGCAGCCGCGGUAAUACGUAGGGGGCAAGCGUUAUCCGGAUUUACUGGGUGUAAAGGGGGCGCAGACGGCCAUGGCAAGCCCGGCGUGAAAGGCAGGGGCAUAACCCCUGGACUGCACUGGGAACUGUCAGGCUGGAGUGCCGGAGGGGUAAGCGGAAUUCCUGGUGUAGCGGUGAAAUGCGUAGAUAUCAGGAGGAACACCGGCGGCGAAGGCGGCUUACUGGACGGCAACUGACGUUGAGGCCCGAAAGCGUGGGGAGCAAACAGGAUUAGAUACCCCAGUA
rnacentral:rRNA from 1 species